AGAAGCACAGGAAAGCAUGACUACCGUGGCCAGCCCAGGGAUCGGGUGGUCAGGGAACUGAGCCCAUGCCAGCCAUCCUGGGCAGAAACAAGAACAAUGGAGGUUCCCACGCAGGGCAAGUCAAACUCAGCUGGGGAAACAAAGACCAUCUGGCACAGACCCAUGUGGGAACAGUGGCCCACAGCACAGGUGACAGGGCUGAGGGCUCCCAUGCCAGCCCCCACUCCCCAGCAGCCAAGGGGCUGGAGUAGGCUGGAAGGUGACUCGCCUCUACUACUGCAAAGACAUUUUGAUGCCAAAGGUGCUCCUUCAGCGUCCCUCCCGUAGGAAGCCUUUCUUGGCGCUUCCCAAGCCAGUGGCAGAUGUUCCUUCUUCCGUGACCCCAGGCACAUCACACACUGGGGCAAUUACUAAUGGGUCUGUUCCCCUCUGGGUCUGCAGCCCGAAGACCAGCGCCCCAUCCCUCUCCUCUCCUGGGUCAGCACUCAGACUGCACACAGAAAAUGCUUGUAGGAGAAGGCAGGAAGAAAGUGCAAGAGACAGGAGCCUCUAGGCAGAUCCAAAAACAGAACCACCCAAUGCCUCCCACUGGGCUCCCACUCUAUAACAGCAGCUACUGUCAGCUUCUCUGCCCUGUAUUCUCAGCACUCAGCACAGAGCCUGUCAUGUCACAGGUCCUGGACAGUAGGGAAUGAAUGAAUGAAUGAAUGAAUGAAUGAAUGGAUGGAUGGAUGGAUGGAUGGAUGGAUGGAUGGAUGAAUGAACGAACGAACAAACUAACGAACGAACUAACGAACGAACAAACUAAGAACACGUGUACACAACCAUGAACAUAUCAACAGAGAAACACACCGCACUAAAGUACUCAAAACCCUGAGCUGCCUCUGGAACUCCUCUCCCCAUUCUGGGCUAGAGAAAUAAUGAUGUGAUUAAAACAUUUCAGGCCCAGACCUCCCAGGGACGAGGGGGUCUGGCAGCCUUGGUAGCCCUGGGUCCAUGCCCUGCCUGGCCUCUUCACAUGAUCAGCUUAAACGAGGUGCCCAUGGGACCCUGGGAACUCCGGGCCUUACCCCAGGGUUCCCACAGUCAGGACCAUGAAGGGAUGAGGGGCCUGGCGGGGACCCCCAUCAGGACAGGGUGCCAUGCAGGGGACAUGGCUGGGAUCCCUAGCAGGAUACCCUUUUGCAGGUUCCUUGCAAGAUUGCAUUAGCGAUUAAUUAAGGAGCAAGUGGUAAGCACAGAGACCGGAUGGUCAGGCCCUUGGGCAGGUCAGGGCUUCCCUCUCAGCAGCCCACUUGUGAGGCCCAGAGAAGAGAGGGGACGGGCACACAAAAGCUUGAGGCCAGCAGCAGGUGAAGGGGCCAAGCCAGCAGUCAGAUGGUGGCUGUCACACCCACCCAACUAGCCCACAAAGGACACUGCAGUCUACCAAAGCCACUACAUGCCUCUGGCUGCCUGCCCUUAACAUGACCACAAGCUCCUGGAGACCCAGAAAGCACCUGUUCCUCCUAACUCCCAACCCUCCUGGCCAGGGGGCCCUCACAGGGUCCUCGACAGUGAGCCAGGAUAUAAGGAAACAAAGACAAAUCAGAAGGAGCUGGCUCCUGGUCCUAAACCCAGAAAAGACACACUGUGCCACUGUACAGGAGAGGGCCCGACACACAGCAGGCGUGCCCCCAAAGCUGGCUGAAUGGAAUGAAGAUAGCUCCCCGCUUUUAUUCCGACCAGGAACAAGCUUCAAGGUCCAGAGCAGACAGAGCACGCUGAGCCAGUUUUCUAAAGGGAAAGGCUCCUUUGGACCACGUGUCACUCUGUAGCCUCUCAGCCAGAAAGGAAGUACAGGGUGGGUGCCAGCCCAUCCCACAGCAACUCCACCCCUGUGUCUGCAGAGCUGCCUGGAGAUGGGCCAGAGUCCCUGGGGAAGGGAGGCUGACAGCUCCUCUCCAGAUAGGCAGGGAGGCAGGAGCUGCUGCAGGGGGGCCUGGGAGCCGAGCUGCUCCCCUGCCCCCCCCAACUUGAGACAGGCAGCUGUUUCAUCAAAGCAUGAGCUAAUUAGGGCUGUCUCUGCCAUCAUGUGCCUAAGGAACAUUCACCCAUGACAGGAGGGUCCAGGAAGAGAAGAUGACCACUCUGAGAGAUUCACACAAAAUUCAAAUGCUGCCUCCCCAAGGGGGACUGCGAGAUCUGACAUCGCAUCAGCCUUUGGGAGCACUGCCAAGGAGUCCCAUCCCUCAUGGGCCCUCGGAGCAGCAGAGACAAGGCCCUCCAAAGACAGCACAAAGCUCAUCACAGCACCCCAUCAUCGCAGCCCCAGUUAAUCACCCAGGGCUGGGCCACCAAAGCCCUUCCACUUGCUGCACUGGGACCAGGGCAAAGAGAAGUCCCUUCUUCAGAAGGUAGGCUGAUGUGGGCCGGGAGCCACCCACAGCCAAGCCAGCAGCAGCCAGUCCCACCCACUCUGUCUCCCUCAGGCAGCUCUUCCCACUCCAUUUCCAGUAGGAGAGAAGAAAGCUCCAACAUGGGAUAAGUAAACCGGAGAGAAAAGAGGAAGUCUGACCUUUUGUAAAUUGCUGAAAUCGGGUUCAUAAGGCAAUAAAUUCAUGUUUUCACCCACAGCCAGGUCCGUGGGUAGGGCAGGACCAUGGCCAAACCUGGGCUGUGACAGUGCGCAGCCUUGGCAGCCCUGGGUCCAUGCCCUGCCUGGCCUCUUCACAUGAUCAGCUUAAACGAGGUGCCCAUGGGACCCUGGGAACUCCGGGCCUUACCCCAGGGUUCCCACAGCUUCAGGAGUUUCCUAAAAGGCCACCCUGUGAAAUGGCCUUUUAGGGCUGCCCAGGGAAGGGGUUGCAGAAACACAGCAGAGGAAGAGGGGGAAGAUGAGGCCUGCGCCUCCAGCUGCUCCUCCGUCCAUCCAGGCAGGGCCAGUAGAGCUGAGGGUUUCCUGAGCAAUCUCCUGCCAAGGGCAGAAUCUGCUCCCAGAAACAGACCCUCUCUCCACAGGCAGCUCCGCCUUGGGCUCUAAAUGUGCACAGCCUGGGGCUGGGGGAGGCAACUACCAAAACAGCUCAGAGUGAGGCCUCUGGACAUGCAGGGGCCAGGGCCUGGAGGACCCUUGCUGGGAAUUUCAUGAGCAAUGGCUGAUGACCUUGGGCAAAUUUUCACCUAUGAGGCAGAGCUAGGACUACCCGUGUUAAAGACAGAAUAGUUAAUGAAUGCCAAAAUGCCACAGUGCUAGCCAAUGCACUGUGGCCAAAAGAUAAUUACAGCAGGUUUACUACAUGAAGAAGUCAGACCACAUUCUUGAGAGCACAGCUUGAUUCAGCCCGGAUGCCUCGAGCACAUAUCACGUAUGCCAGCCCCAUCCUCCUCCAGCCUAUGGACUUCGGACCAGAGCUGCAGCCCACCCCUGGAGGGGCCAGUCCUGCUGGCUGGAAGAAGCAGAUUUUCAACUGCCCAGAUACCCCGUGCACCACACCAUUUUGCUUCUGUGCCAGUUUUAUGAUUUCAAUUGAGAAAGCCUCUUCUAUACCGAGGGUAAAGAGGUGACAAUUAUCUCACAGUUGGUUGGUGGUUGGUUGGUUAGAUUUUUGGUGGGCUAAAAGCCAAUGACCUGGACUUUUUCCUUUUUUUUUUUUUUUUCUCCAUCAAAAAGCCCAAACCCAGAAAGCAAAAAACUAAGUGCGGCUCUGGAGUCAGAGAGACCUACAAGCAAGUCUGAGAUUCUAGUGUUUUCAGCUGCGUGACUGAGCAUUUAUCACCACUUGGCACCACACUGUGGUUAAAAGUCUGGCUUUGAAGUCAUGCUGCCUGGGUUCAUGUCUUGACUCUGACACAGUCUAGCUGGGCGACACUAGGUAAGUACUUAACCUCCCGGAGCCUCAGUUUCUCCACGCAUAAAAUGGAAAUAGUAACUGUCUUUACUCCAUAAUAGUACUUACUUGGCCAGAUGCAAUGAGAACAUGUAGUGACUCUCUUAGUUCGGUGCCUGACACGUUGUAGGUACUCUUUUUUCUAAAUAUUCUUCAUGUCUUGGUCUAGAUGCUAAACAUUUUGAGGGCAGUAACCAUGCCAAACGCAUCUUCCUAUCCGCUAAGAGUGUAACAGAGUUGAAAUUCAGUAAACUUUUGUCAAACGAGCUAGCCUCCCUGAGCAUGCUUGCCAUGGGCAACAAGCCCAGCUGGCAAAUGCAUUUGUCCAGUUCAUGGGCCCCAGUUGUUCUCAUUACCUCAAGAUUAAUCCUCCCAACCACCAGCAAGGUGUGCAGGGUGGGCAGCAUCUGCCCCUCCCUCCAUUAGGAAAAGGUGAGAAUAAACUGGAAAGCAGCCAGCCGUGGGCAGUAUUUGCAGCUCCUCAGAGCAAUGCCCUAUCGAUUUUUAAGUGUCACUAUUAAUAACAACAACAACUGGCAGUGAUACAACAUUUUUCUUCCAAGACAAUCAGAGCAUUUUAUAGGGACAAUUUCAUCUAUCUCUCCAUGGCUCCAGGAGGAGUAGGAGAAUAUUCCCCACUUACAGUAAAGGGCAGGAGAGGCCAAGGGGUUUGGCCAAGGUCACUGUACAAGUCAGUGGGAUGCCUGUGCUCCUGGUCUCUGGGGCCCUCUGCAUCCCUGGAUGGCAUCUCCUUAGGACAGAACUUCCCUAGCAUAGUUCUUUUCAGAUGUAGAGCAAAGUUAACCUUCUAACAAAACACCCAUGGGUGGAGGGUGGCAUCAAGCACUAUUCCAAAAAGCAUCCUCUUGGUGGGAAGCCCUUAGACAUGACCACUCCUUGGCUUAGUCUUCCUCUUCCUGUGUGCCAUCAAGAAUCACACCUGGCCGGGCA